rnacentral:rRNA from 1 species
UACGUAGGGUGCAAGCGUUGUCCGGAAUUAUUGGGCGUAAAGAGCUCGUAGGCGGCUUGUCACGUCGACUGUGAAAACCCGGGGCUCAACUCCGGGCCUGCAGUCGAUACGGGCUGGCUAGAGUCCGGAAGAGGAGAGUGGAAUUCCUGGUGUAGCGGUGAAAUGCGCAGAUAUCAGGAAGAACACCCGUGGCGAAGGCGGCUCUCUGGGACGGUACUGACGCUGAGACGCGAAAGCGUGGGGAGCGAACAGG